AACUGCUUUAUUUAAGACAGCGCAGCAUUUACGUCACGACUGCCGUUCCCGUCCUCCACUGUUAUCGAUAUACAUGGGGCCGUGUGAAAUGUGUACGAAAGGUGAUAGGUGCCAAUACCCACCACUGUAGGUGAAAAACCCAAUGAUGAUACAUGGUCACAUUACCGGAGACCUUGUAGGGAGGUUCUAUAGACAUAUAACACAGAUGGCAUUAACCCCUUAAGGACACAUGACAUGUG